rnacentral:lncRNA from 1 species
GUUGUUGAUUACAUGGGUGGGGGAAUUAUUAAAUGCUAACUUGUACAUUGUUUUGGUUGGCACUGACUGGAGUUGGCGAAGACCAAUGAAACCUCUCUGACAGAGCUGUCAAUUUAUUUUUCUACAUUCUCAUCAAUUUAAUGUUACACAUUAUUGAUGUUCUUUCUGAAGAAGUGAAUUCACACACUAUUUAUCAAUUGUUGUGUUUCUUUUCUCCUUUCCCAUUUUCAUGGCAGGAAGAAUCUGCAAGAUAGGCCAACUGUCUCAAUCAAGCAACAAACCACAGAGGGAACUUUAGUUCUUUUGGAAAUUACGAGGGGAAUUAUUAAAAGGACUUACGCUGAGGAGCUGGAAGUACCCAGCAGUUGGGGUGCAUCCCAUUGUGGAGGCUGGAAGAGACCUUGGGCUCUCCCGCUGAAGAAGAGAACCUCUCUUGUCUUCAGCCCAAAGAGGAUGGUGAGAGUAAGGGUGUGAGGGAUUAUUCUGAAAUGCAAGACAUGGCCUGCCCUGAAGAUGGAAAAUCAGAGAAUCUGAAUUCUCAAGGGUAAUAUACACAGUAAUUGUAGGUCCUGGUAGUUCUGAAAAAAAGAUAUUUGGACAGAAGAACUCUGGGAAUGCCCCUGAAGGACCUGAGAUGAGGAGGUAGCAGCCUAGAUACUCUCCAGAUUGUGAUGCAAUUAAUCAAUGUUCAAUGAUUUCAAGCACUAUUAAUUUUAGGAACAGUGAGAAAGGGGAACUGGGAACCCCCAAAUAUAGCUAGUUAUUACUCUGCCCAUCAUAUUAAACACAGGAUACUUAAUCUAGAAGACAAAUAUAUGUGGUUAUCUUUGGAAGCCCAGUGGGGAUACACGA